UCCCUUGUAGCUACGAGGUUAAAGUGUCUGCCUCUAAUGCAGGAGGCCUGGGUUCGAUUCCUGGGUCGGGAA
rnacentral:tRNA from 1 species